rnacentral:rRNA from 1 species
AACGAACGCUGGCGGCGUGGAUAAGACAUGCAAGUCGAACGGGAUUUUUUCCUGUAGCAAUACAGGAUAAAGUCUAGUGGCGAACGGGUGCGUAACACGUGAGCAACCUGCCGUGAAGUGGGGGAUAGCUCGCCGAAAGGCGAAUUAAUACCGCAUGUGGCCAAGGAAGACAUCUUCCUGACGCCAAAGCCGGGGCAACCUGGCGCUUCUCGAGGGGCUCGCGGCCUAUCAGCUUGUUGGUGAGGUAACGGCUCACCAAGGCUAUGAUGGGUAGCUGGUCUGAGAGGACGACCAGCCACACUGGAACUGAGACACGGUCCAGACACCUACGGGUGGCAGCAGUCGAGAAUUUUUCACAAUGGGGGAAACCCUGAUGGAGCGACGCCGCGUGGAGGAUGAAGGUUUUCGGAUUGUAAACUCCUGUCAUUAGAGAACAAGGCACACGGUUUAACUGACCGUGUGUUGAUAGUAUCUGAAGAGGAAGAGACGGCUAACUCUGUGCCAGCAGCCGCCGCAG